AAAGAGAGUCAAACAGUACGUGAAAUUGUUGAAAGGGAAGCGCUUGCAACCAGACUUGCCUGCAGGUGAUCAACCGGUAUUCUUACCGGUGCACUCGCCUGUGGUCAGGCCAGCAUCGGUUUGGGCGGCUGGAUAAAGUUCACCGGAACGUAGCUCCUCUCGGGGAGUGUUAUAGCCGGAGGUGCAAUGCAGCCCGCCCGGACCGAGGACCGCGCUUCGGCUAGGAUGCUGGCGUAAUGGUUGUAAGCGACCCGUCUUGAAACACGGACCAAGGAGUCUAACAUCUAUGCGAGUGUUUGGGUGUCAAACCCAUGCGCGUAAUGAAAGUGAACGGAGGUGGGAACCCUCAAGGGUGCACCAUCGACCGAUCCUGAUGUCUUCGGAUGGAUUUGAGUAAGAGCAUAGCUGUUGGGACCCGAAAGAUGGUGAACUAUGCCUGAAUAGGGUGAAGCCAGAGGAAACUCUGGUGGAGGCUCGCAGCGGUUCUGACGUGCAAAUCGAUCGUCAAAUUUGGGUAUAGGGGCGAAAGACUAAUCGAACCAUCUGUUACUGGAUGGCACACGGGCAGUACAACGCCCGAGUAGUCCCUACUGUGAGGGCGACAUCGCCGGUCUUUCAGGGACGCCUUCGGGCUACCUGCAGUGAGCUUGAGGCUCAUUCACAGACUAAGUGGCGGUGGCCGCGCCCGCGGCGUGGUUAGGAUAUAGCC
rnacentral:rRNA from 1 species